UGGGGAAUAUUGGACAAUGGGCGAAAGCCUGAUCCAGCCAUGCCGCGUGUGUGAAGAAGGUCUUCGGAUUGUAAAGCACUUUAAGUUGGGAGGAAGGGCAGUAAGCUAAUACCUUGCUGUUUUGACGUUACCGACAGAAUAAGCACCGGCCAACUCUGUGCCAGCAGCCGCGGUAAUACAGAGGGUGCAAGCGUUAAUCGGAAUUACUGGGCGUAAAGCGCGCGUAGGUGGUUUGUUAAGUUGGAUGUGAAAGCCCCGGGCUCAACCUGGGAACUGCAUCCAAAACUGGCAAGCUAGAGUACGGAAGAGGGUGGUGGAAUUUCCUGUGUAGCGGUGAAAUGCGUAGAUAUAGGAAGGAACACCAGUGGCGAAGGCGACCACCUGGACUGAUACUGACACUGAGGUGCGAAAGCGUGGGGAGCAAACA
rnacentral:rRNA from 1 species